UGGGCAUUUACUGACGCUGAGGAGCGAAAGCAUGGGGAGCGAACAGGAUUAGAUACCCUGGUAGUCCAUGCCGUAAACGUUGGGCACUAGGUGUGGGGGACAUUCCACGUUUUCCGCGCCGUAGCUAACGCAUUAAGUGCCCCGCCUGGGGAGUACGGCCGCAAGGCUAAAACUCAAAGGAAUUGACGGGGGCCCGCACAAGCGGCGGAGCAUGCGGAUUAAUUCGAUGCAACGCGAAGAACCUUACCAAGGCUUGACAUGUGCCAGACCGCCUCAGAGAUGGGGUUUCCCUUCGGGGCUGGUUCACAGGUGGUGCAUGGUUGUCGUCAGCUCGUGUCGUGAGAUGUUGGGUUAAGUCCCGCAACGAGCGCAACCCUCGUUCCAUGUUGCCAGCACGUAAUGGUGGGGACUCAUGGGAGACUGCCGGGGUCAACUCGGAGGAAGGUGGGGAUGACGUCAAAUCAUCAUGCCCCUUAUGUCUUGGGCUUCACGCAUGCUACAAUGGCCGGUACAAUGGGUUGCGAUACUGUGAGGUGGAGCUAAUCCCUAAAAGCCGGUCUCAGUUCGGAUUGGGGUCUGCAACUCGACCCCAUGAAGUCGGAGUCGCUAGUAAUCGCAGAUCAGCAACGCUGCGGUGAAUACGUUCCCGGGCCUUGUACACACCGCCCGUCAAGUCACGAAAGUUGGUAACACCCGAAGCCGAUGGCCUAACCACCUUGUGUGGGGGGAGU
rnacentral:rRNA from 1 species